rnacentral:rRNA from 1 species
AUUGAACGCUGGCGGCAGGCCUAACACAUGCAAGUCGAGCGGAUGAAGGGAGCUUGCUCCUGGAUUCAGCGGCGGACGGGUGAGUAAUGCCUAGGAAUCUGCCUGGUAGUGGGGGAUAACGUCCGGAAACGGGCGCUAAUACCGCAUACGUCCUGAGGGAGAAAGUGGGGGAUCUUUGGACCUCACGCUAUCAGAUGAGCCUAGGUCGGAUUAGCUAGUUGGUGGGGUAAAGGCCUACCAAGGCGACGAUCCGUAACUGGUCUGAGAGGAUGAUCAGUCACACUGGAGCUGAGACACGGUCCAGAGUCCUACGGGAGGCAGCAGUGGGGAAUAUGGGACAAUGGGCGAAAGCCUGAUCCAGCCAUGCCGCGUGUGUUAAGAAGGUCUUCGGAUUGUAAAGCACGUUAAGUUGGGAGGAAGGGCAGUAAGUUAAUACCUUGCUGUUUUGACGUUACCAGCAGAAUAAGCACCGGCUAACUUCGUG